rnacentral:lncRNA from 1 species
CCAGUAUAAUGCGGGAAUACAUUCUGUUCUAGGUCGCCCACCAGUAUAAUGCGGGAAUACUUUCUGUUCUAGGUCGCCCACCAGUAUAAUGCGGGAAUACUUUCUGUUCUAGGUCUCCCACCAGUAUAAUGCGGGAAUACAUUCUGUUCUAGGUCGCCCACCAGUAUAAUGCGGGAAUACAUUCUGUUCUAGGUCGCCCACCAGUAUAAUGCGGGAAUACAUUCUGUUCUAGGUCGCCCACCAGUAUAAUGUGGGAAUACUUUCUGUUCUAGGUCGCCCACCAGUAUAAUGCGGGAAUACAUUCUGUUCUAAGUCGCCCACCAGUAUAAUGCGGGAAUACUUUCUGUUCUAGGUCGCCCACCAGUAUAAUGCGGGAAUACAUUUCUGUCUUUUUUUCAUGUUCUAGGUCGCCCACCAGUAUAAUGCGGGCAUACAUU